rnacentral:rRNA from 1 species
ACCCCUGUGAACAUACCACUUGUUGCCUCGGCGGAUCAGCCCGCUCCCGGUAAAACGGGACGGCCCGCCAGAGGACCCCUAAACUCUGUUUCUAUAUGUAACUUCUGAGUAAAACCAUAAAUAAAUCAAAACUUUCAACAACGGAUCUCUUGGUUCUGGCAUCGAUGAAGAACGCAGCAAAAUGCGAUAAGUAAUGUGAAUUGCAGAAUUCAGUGAAUCAUCGAAUCUUUGAACGCACAUUGCGCCCGCCAGUAUUCUGGCGGGCAUGCCUGUUCGAGCGUCAUUUCAACCCUCAAGCACAGCUUGGUGUUGGGACUCGCGUUAAUUCGCGUUCCUCAAAUUGAUUGGCGGUCACGUCGAGCUUCCAUAGCGUAGUAGUAAAACCCUCGUUACUGGUAAUCGUCGCGGCCACGCCGUUAAACCCCAACUUCUGAAUGUUGACCUCGGAUCAGGUAGGAAUACCCGCUGAACUUAAG